rnacentral:rRNA from 1 species
UACGUAGGGUGCAAGCGUUAAUCGGAAUUACUGGGCGUAAAGCGUGCGCAGGCGGUUAUGCAAGACAGAUGUGAAAUCCCCGGGCUCAACCUUUGAAAGCCGGUGGAUACUGUGAGGCUAGAGUACGGAAGAGGCGAGUGGAAUUCCUGGUGUAGCGGUGGAAUGCGCAGAUAUCAGGAGGAACACCAAUAGCGAAGGCAGCUCGCUGGGACGUUACUGACACUGAGGCGCGAAAGCGUGGGGAGCGAACAGG